AAAGGUCACUAAAACUAAAUUAAAUCAUCAACUGUCAUAUCAUGCAACCAGAAAGGUCCUGGGUUCUGAUAUAAAAGCUCUAAAGAUAAAAGAUGCUUCGAGUGUUCGUGUUAGUGGUGGUGGUGCUGGGUUGUCUCCUGACCUCCUCAGUAUGCAGGGCUCAAGUGUACUAUGUCAAACCUUCACAGCCUCCAAACACCACCUGUCCUGGUGAGCUCAAGCCGUGUUACACUCUCGAUUACUAUGCCCAGAAUGCUACAUCACUGCUUAGUGGAAGAAGCAAUGUCACGUUACUGUUUGUUGAGGGUGUACAUCUUUUAACCGAACUGACUUUUGAGGUUUUUGAAACUGAGCAUGUAACAUUGUCUGCAUUAACUGAGUAUAUCAAUGUUACUGUUAUGUUAUCUACUGGUAGCGAUAUGAAUUUCACUCUUGUGGACGAUUUACAUUUAGGUAAUUUAGUUGUUUUGGCUGCUUUAUGUCCGGGCAACAACAUUCCAGGCAACAGCAUUAACACAACAUUUGUCAGAUGGGUUUAUCACUCUAACGUAACUGUCUUCUGCUGUGACUUAAAUCUUCAGAUGAUCCAGGAAUUUCAAUUGUACCAUUCCACUUAUAACUAUGCUGAAAUUAACAUGUACAAUUUUAAAGAGAUGGAUAAUGUGAUCUUAACUUUUUCUGAAUGUUGUUUCCUAAAUAACGCAAUCAUCAUCAUAUCCCUAAAUAGCUCCUUCAAUGGAUCUAUUACGAACUCAUAUGGUUUUAGUGUUUAUGUUCUUAAUCGAGGCGGCUUAUUCUCUCUAACAAUCAGAAACUGUGUGAGCCGUCCUGGAGGCGAUCAGGUUACGGUUAAAGUUUCUGAAGCACCUUCUAUCGUAAAAAAUAAGUGCUUUGAGCUCAUUUUAGAAAACAAUCAUUUUGAUGACUUUUACUUUUCGUCAUUGAAUAAUCCAGAUUUUGAAAGAUUUCUUUGGGUAAAAAAUUGCUCAUUUUAUCAUUCUGAAUUUUUUUCCAAAGCAUUUUUUUCUGAUAUUUCAAUUGACCUCAGCAAUUUUUAUGAUACUCCGGUUUUUUUUAGCUCUGCAAAGGAAUGUACUGUUAGGAAUGUUAGCUUUGAUAGCAGUAUCUUCAAUGUUAUGGGUCCUUCCACAGUUCUCAUAGACAAUUGUCGGUUUGAAAAGUCAACAGAUUUAGAUAUUUCUCCGUUCAUCAUGUCUGAAGUGUGUUUAUUCAUAGUCAAUGAAUCAGUGUUCAAAAAUAACCAAGGUUACCACGGAGGGGCUCUAUAUUUGUAUAAUAGUAGACUAUAUCUGACUCAUAAUUCAGUAUUAGUUUUCGAUAAUAACUCAGCAAUUGAUAAAGGUGGUGCUGUUUAUGUGGAGAAUCCAAUGGAUGAAAAAUUGUUGCUUCCUGGAAAUUAUCCAACGCCAUCCAAAUGUGUUAUCUGUUUAAAGUACAAUGUAGCUGAUGGAAGCAAGCUAGACAACUUGAUCAUUUUUAAAGAUAAUAUUGCAGCAAACGGAGGUAAUAAUAUCUAUGGAGCUUCCAUACAGUCCGAUUGUUUAGUUUCCCCUGAUGGACAAAAUGCUAGCUACGAAGUUCAAGCUGAUAUUUUUCAAUUUGAUAAUAACUCAAAAAUAAAUCAUUCGUCAGUGUCUUCUGAUCCAAAACGGGUUUGCUUGUGUGAUGAUAAUGGGAUUCCAAUGUGUGCUAAUUUGUCUUAUAUUAUCCAGCAUAGAAAGGUUGCUCCUGGUGAGAAGUUCAAUGUCAGUUUGGCACUGGUUGGAGGUGAUUUAGGUGUUACUGUUGGAUCAGUUUAUGCAACACUAUUUCAAGGAGAUCCAGGUGUACGAAAUGACUUAGCCACAAAGAUCCUUUCUAGUGCAGAGUGCUUACUUGAAGAGUAUGUAAUAUACUCUGAAAACUAUUAUGGUACUAGCUUGCUUUUUCUCUCAUCUCAUGUAAUUAAUAAUAACGCAGAGUCUUACUUUUUUCUAGACAAUGAUUCCAUGAGGAAGUAUGAAAAAAACAAUGAAAUUGAUUACUAUUUGGCCACCACACAUAUAGUCUUGAAUAUUACUCUUCAGAAGUGCCCUAUAGGGCUUAUCCUAAAAAAAUCGUCAUGCCAAUGUAUCCGGACACUUACGGACAUUGGUUUAACCAAAUGUGUCAUUUUCAAUGGAGAGGUGCUAAUAACACGCAGUGAUACUAUCUGGGUGAGCUACUCUGGAGUUGUAAACAAUGAGACGGGUGUUGUUGCAUAUAAAUAUUGCCCAUUUGAUUACUGUAAAAUAGAAGAGAUUGCUGUCAACCUGCACAAGCCCGACAGUCAGUGUACUUUCAAUCACAGUGGUGUUCUGUGUGGAGGUUGUUCCCCAAACCUCAGCUUAGCCUUGGGUAGCCCUCAGUGUCUGUCUUGCUCCGAUAAUGGAUACGUGGCUUUCUUUAUUCCCUUUGCAAUUGCUGGUUUGUUGUUAGUGCUCUUCAUUAAACUGUUUGAUCUCACAAUAACCAAAGGAGCUGUCAAUGGACUGCUUUUGUAUGCUAACAUUCUGUGGACUAAUCAAAGCAUUUUCUUUCCUCAUGCAAUUCGCAAAUCAUCUUCUCUAUUUCAUUUUUUUGUCACAUUUGUGGCAUGGCUCAAUUUAGAUCUUGGAAUUGAAACCUGUUUUAUUCGUGGCCUGGAUAUGUAUUGGAAAACUUGGCUGCAAUUUUUGUUCCCUCUUUACAUUUGGAGUAUUGCCGGGCUCAUCAUUUUAGCUUGCCGCUAUUCUGACAAAGCUACUAAACUGUUUGGCAACAAUUCAGUUCAUGUUUUAGCUACAUUGUUCCUACUCUCGUACUCCAAGCUUCUCCGUACAAUUAUUACAUCAUUGGGUGUUGCUAUUCUUGACUAUCCUAGUGGGACGAGAGUUGUGUGGCUAGCAGAUGGUAAUGUUCCAUAUUUUGGUAUACGCCACUCAUUCCUUUUCAUAGCGGCAAUAGUUACUCUGAUAAUAUUCUGGUUGCCUUAUACAGUAACAAUACUGCUAGUUCCCUGGCUAAGAAAAUGUGGUAAUAUCUCAUGGAUUAACAAACUAAAGCCGUUCUUUGAUGCUCAUUACGGCCCCCUCAAAGACAAGCACCAGUACUGGAUUGGAUUGACAUUGCUAGUACGUGUGAUACUUGCCAUUACCAAUGUUGUGAUUCAAGCUAUUGAUCCUACUAUCAAUCUUGUCGUAACUAUAGCUUUGUCUUCACCAUUGCUCUAUGUGGUUGGUUUCUCAUAUAGAAAAUGGUAUCUUUCAAUUAUUGAGGCCUCCUUUGUUGCCAAUAUGAUUAUUCUUGGGGGAGGAUUUUUGUACUCAAGUAACCAACAUUUUCAGAAUGCUUUUGCUAGUGUUUCUGUUGGUAUUGCAUUUCUCACAUUCCUACUAAUAAUCUGUGUACAAGGGUACACUCAAGUGAAGGCACUUUGUCGCUGCAGAACUGGUGUACGUAGAGAGUAUGAAAACAUUAACGGUGUGAAUGACUCUAAAACAGAGAGUACCCCUCCAACUCAUUCCGUGGUGUCAUUGCUCACUCCAGACUACUACCGAGAACCAUUGCUGGAGAGUGACACUUACUGACUCCCUGAGAAUUAUUGAAAAGACAAUGAUUUUAUAAUAAGCAGAUCGAAAAGUGUUAUUGCAUGUAUAAUUGUUUUAAGUAUGCUCACUCAAUCUAUACAUGUGUAGUUUUGUUCUCUGCAACAUUUUUGUGAACAUAUUAUUUUUUAUGGUCAA